rnacentral:rRNA from 1 species
AAAAACUCCGGUGGUACAGGAUGGACCCGCGUCUGAUUAGCUGGUUGGCGGGGUAACGGCCCACCAAGGCGACGAUCAGUAGCCGGCCUGAGAGGGUGAACGGCCACAUUGGGACUGAGACACGGCCCAAACUCCUACGGGAGGCAGCAGUGGGGAAUAUUGGACAAUGGGGGGAACCCUGAUCCAGCGACGCCGCGUGAGUGAAGAAGUAUUUCGGUAUGUAAAGCUCUAUCAGCAGGGAAGAAAAUGACGGUACCUGACUAAGAAGCCCCGGCUAACUACGUGCCAGCAGCCGCGGUAAUACGUAGGGGGCAAGCGUUAUCCGGAUUUACUGGGUGUAAAGGGAGCGUAGACGGUGCAGCAAGUCUGAUGUGAAAGGUCGGGGCCCAACCCCGGGACUGCAUUGGAAACUGUUGAACUGGAGUACAGGAGAGGUAAGCGGAAUUCCUAGUGUAGCGGUGAAAUGCGUAGAUAUUAGGAGGAACACCAGUGGCGAAGGCGGCUUACUGGACUGUAACUGACGUUGAGGCUCGAAAGCGUGGGGAGCAAACAGGAUUAGAUACCCUGGUAGUCCACGCCGUAAACGAU